rnacentral:piRNA from 1 species
AGAACUUGGCUCUUUCUUCCCC